GUGCAUCAACCAGUGCAGACUGGCGAGCCCCAGGGAUUUCUGGGCAAGUAUCUUUUUGAGCGCUUCACUCUCAAGCAGGACUAGGAGGCCCUUCC
rnacentral:pre_miRNA from 1 species